CGCUCUGUCUUAGUUGUUUUGAAUCUUAUAAAGGGAGAGGUCGGAGAUAGUGACACUCAGGAUGUUUGUUCGAGAGACGGGAUGCCAAUACCUUCACAGUUAACUUAGCAAUUGGGAGUUAAGCUUUCUUCUUCGUCAAAGUUUUGAGCUUAGUCAUUUCCAUUGGCCUGCGAAUCUUUAAUAAUUAACUAUUAUUAUUCAACAUUCUGUGUCGAAAAUUCAAGAUUCUAUUUGAAGGAAUAUGUGUUCCCUUAUUAUGAUAAUAAGUACAUCAUUAAAUAUCAAUGGAAGAUCAACUCACAUUGGUUUCUUAAAGGUUGGUUGUUCGUACAUUCGGAUUUGUUUAACUUAUUGAGGCAACCUCGUGUUUGUUCAUUAUUAGUAAAUUAUUAGCUCCUACUCUCCUAAAUCUACAUUAUGUUAUAUGGAAAUGUGAAGACUCAUCUAGCUGUAAGAAGAACCCUUAUUAAUUAAUAUUUUCUGAAAAACCUUUUCAUUGAUUAUUAAAUCAAAGCAUCAAUAAAGUAGAGUUGAUCGUUACUUGUGGAUAAUUAUUACAGCAUGUAGGAAAAUCAUUUAAAAUUCUUGAAUAAAAAGGAAAUGAUAAAAGAAUUUGGAAGAUUUUCUUUGUUGUGAAAGAAGUUUGUGUCGAACUGUAAUAUUUGGUCUUUGGAACAAAAUUGCAGUGACUGCUAGAAGAAAUACCUAAUUUGGGAGUAGAGCUAUUCAUUUAGGGUAUAAUUGAUUACAACAUUCUGUUUUAGAAGACUCCUUCAUUGGAGUAAGGAUUAGCAUAUUGCUAAAUGUUCAUAAUCUCUGAGAUAAGAUACGACAAAACUAAAUAUCGGCAAGAAAAACUACUUGAAAGGUCUCAAAGAGGAUCUAAGCUUCAAAUGGUGUGCAAGUGAUUUAUCUAACAUAAGUUUCUUCGGGUAAAAGUUUGUGUAUGCUCCAUGGAUUCGAACAUGUUGAUAUGCAAUUUAUUUAAGUAUAAGUCGUUUCAAAUAUUGAACCCAUUAAUUUACUUUUCUUUUUUAGCUUUGCAAAUGACUUACAAGAGGAAGAAUGAGGCUUUACAUGGAAUUUGAAGUAUGAUAGGAAUGAAACAGAUUUUAUUUCUACUCAAAAUUAGUAUAUGUCUCAUUUAUGUAUAAAAAUGUCUCUUUAUAUUUUGUAUAUAUAUACCUAAUUAACGUUUGUCGCUAAUAAUUUGUUAAAUCCAUUUGUAAUAUUUAAUUAUAAUAACU
rnacentral:lncRNA from 1 species